rnacentral:rRNA from 1 species
GACGAACGCUGGCGGCGUGCCUAAUACAUGCAAGUAGAACGCAGUUGCGAACGGGUGAGUAACGCGUAGGUAACUGCCUGGUAGCGGGGGAUAACUAUUGGAAACGCUAGCUAAUACCGCAUACUACCAGAUGGACCUGCGUUGUAUUAGCUAGUUGGUGAGGUAACGGCUCACCAAGGCAACGAUACAUAGCCGAGCUUGGAGGGUGAUCGGCCACACUGGGACUGAGACACGGCCCAGACGCCUACGGGAGGCAGCAGGAGGGAAUCUUCGGCAAUGGGGGGAACCCUGACCGAGAAACGGCGCGUGAGUGAAGAAGGUUUUCGGAUCGUAAAGCUCUGUUGUUAAGGGAGCGGUACUUAACCAGAAAGGGACGGCUAACUACGUGCCAGCAGCCGCGGUAAUUC